GAUGAACGCUAGCUACAGGCUUAACACAUGCAAGUCGAGGGGAAACGAUAUUGGAAGCUUGCUUCCGAUAGGCGUCGACCGGCGCACGGGUGAGUAACGCGUAUCCAACCUGCCCACCACUUGGGGAUAACCUUGCGAAAGUAAGACUAAUACCCAAUGAUAUCUCUAGAAGACAUCUGAAGGAGAUUAAAGAUUCAUCGGUGAUGGAUGGGGAUGCGUCUGAUUAGCUUGUUGGCGGGGUAACGGCCCACCAAGGCGACGAUCAGUAGGGGUUCUGAGAGGAAGGUCCCCCACAUUGGAACUGAGACACGGUCCAAACUCCUACGGGAGGCAGCAGUGAGGAAUAUUGGUCAAUGGGCGAGAGCCUGAACCAGCCAAGUAGCGUGCAGGAUGACGGCCCUAUGGGUUGUAAACUGCUUUUAUAAGGGAAUAAAGUGAGUCUCGUGAGACUUUUUGCAUGUACCUUAUGAAUAAGGACCGGCUAAUUCCGUGCCAGCCGCCGCAGUAA
rnacentral:rRNA from 1 species